CGCUGGCGGCGUGCCUAAUACAUGCAAGUCGAACGGCUUUUCUAUGGAAGCUUGCUUCCACUGAAAAGAUAGUGGCGAACGGGUGAGUAACGACGUGGGUAACCUGCCCAUAAGAGGGGGAUAACAUCCGGAAACGGGUGCUAAUACCGCAUAGUUUUCUUGAUCGCAUGAUCGGGAAAGGAAAGACGGCCUUUGUGCUGUCGCUUAUGGAUGGACCCGCGGCGUAUUAGUUAGUUGGUGAGGUAACGGCUCACCAAGACGAUGAUACGUAGCCGACCUGAGAGGGUGAUCGGCCACAUUGGGACUGAGACACGGCCCAAACUCCUACGGGAGGCAGCAGUAGGGAAUCUUCCGCAAUGGACGAAAGUCUGACGGAGCAACGCCGCGUGAGUGAAGAAAAGGUUUUCGGAUCGUAAAACUCUGUCGUCAGAGAAGAACAAGUUGGAGAGUAACUGCUCCAGCCUUGACGGUAUCUGACCAGAAAGCCACGGCUAACUACGUGCCAGCCGCAGC
rnacentral:rRNA from 1 species